rnacentral:piRNA from 2 species
CCUUGGUGCAAUUUUUGGAAAAACC